CACUGAGUGACCAGGCCUUGGUGGUCGAACUGGACGGUAGCUUGGCUGCGUCUGGCUGAUCUACGGUCUAGACUGUCUUGGUGGGUGUAUUUACAGGACGCAGUUUCUGUGUGUCCCCUCCUGUAAUUCCACUCACCUGGACAGUCUCUACCGUAGACCAGCUAAACAAGGCCUCGUUCUCAUCUGGCUAGAUCACGGAGGGAUACAUAACCUGGGGAAGGCUGAGGCUGGAAGAUAUCCUAAGGGAAGUGAGGAAGGGGAGACAUCCGGGGGCCCACGGAUGGAUUCCUGGACACAUGGACCUGGGAAAGGCAAGGAUACCUUGUGGAAGUGGGGAAGGGGGAAUAUCUGAGGCGGACAGAUGGACUCCUGGACCUGUGAAAGAAGGAGAUACUGGUUGCUAAGGCAGACCCUGGGAAAGUGGGGAAGGGAGAACGUCUGAGGGGACACGGGUGGACUCCUGGACACAUGGACCUGGGAAAGGCGAGAGCACCUUGGGGAAUGGGGGGGAAUAUCUGAGGCGGACUCCUGGGAAAGAAGGAGAUACUGGUUGCUAAGGCAGACCCUGGGAAAGUGGAGAAGGGAGAACGUCUGAGGGGACACGGGUGGACUCCUGGACACAUGGACCUGGGAAAGGCGAGAGCACCUUGGGGAAGGGGGGGGAUAUCUGAGGCGGACUCCUGGGAAAGAAGGAGAUACUGGUUGCUAAGGCAGACCCUGGGAAAGUGGAGAAGGGAGAACGUCUGAGGGGACACGGGUGGACUCCUGGACACAUGGACCUGGGAAAGGCGAGAGCACCUUGGGGAAGUGGGGAAGGGGGGAGGUGGAAUAUCUGAGGCGGA